rnacentral:rRNA from 1 species
ACGGGUGCGUAACGCGUGGGAAUCAGCCCUUGGGUUCGGAAUAACAGUUAGAAAUGACUGCUAAUACCGGAUGAUGUCUUCGGACCAAAGAUUUAUCGCCCAAGGAUGAGCCCGCGUAAGAUUAGCUAGUUGGUGGGGUAAUGGCCCACCAAGGCGACGAUCUUUAGCUGGUCUGAGAGGAUGAUCAGCCACACUGGGACUGAGACACGGCCCAGACUCCUACGGGAGGCAGCAGUGGGGAAUAUUGGACAAUGGGCGAAAGCCUGAUCCAGCAAUGCCGCGUGAGUGAUGAAGGCCUUAGGGUUGUAAAGCUCUUUUACCAGGGAUGAUAAUGACAGUACCUGGAGAAUAAGCUCCGGCUAACUCCGUGCCAGCAGCCGCGGUAAUACGGAGGGAGCUAGCGUUGUUCGGAAUUACUGGGCGUAAAGCGUACGUAGGCGGUUACUCAAGUCAGAGGUGAAAGCCCGGGGCUCAACCCCGGAACUGCCUUUGAAACUAGGCAGCUAGAGUCUUGGAGAGGUUAGUGGAAUUCCGAGUGUAGAGGUGAAAUUCGUAGA